CAGCAGCCACGGUAAUACGAAGGGGGCUAGCGUUGUUCGGAAUUACUGGGCGUAAAGCGCACGUAGGCGGAUCGAUCAGUCAGGGGUGAAAUCCCAGGGCUCAACCCUGGAACUGCCUUUGAUACUGUCGAUCUGGAGUAUGGAAGAGGUGAGUGGAAUUCCGAGUGUAGAGGUGAAAUUCGUAGAUAUUCGGAGGAACACCAGUGGCGAAGGCGGCUCACUGGUCCAUUACUGACGCUGAGGUGCGAAAGCGUGGGGAGCAAACAGGAUUAGAUACCCGCGUAGUCCCUGUCUCUUAUAC
rnacentral:rRNA from 1 species